rnacentral:rRNA from 1 species
CCCGCAAGGGAUAAGUAGAGUGGCAAACGGGUGAGUAACACGUGGGUGACCUGCCUUCGAGCGGGGGAUAACGUCCCGAAAGGGACGCUAAUACCGCAUAACAUCCUGCCUUUUAAGAGGUGGAGAUCAAAGCCGGGGACCGCAAGGCCUGGCACUUGAAGAGGGGCCCGCGUCUGAUUAGCUAGUUGGUGGGGUAAUGGCCUACCAAGGCAACGAUCAGUAUCCGGCCUGAGAGGGCGGACGGACACACUGGGACUGAGACACGGCCCAGACUCCUACGGGAGGCAGCAGUGGGGAAUUGUUCGCAAUGGGCGCAAGCCUGACGACGCAACGCCGCGUGGAGGAUGAAGACCUUCGGGUCGUAAACUCCUUUCGAUCGAGACGAAUGUUUUCCGGGUGAACAAUCCGGGAAAGUGACGGUACCGAGAGAAGAAGCCCCGGCUAACUCUGUGCCAGCAGCCGCGGUAAUACAGGGGGGGCAAGCGUUGUUCGGAAUUACUGGGCGUAAAGGGCUCGUAGGUGGCCAACUAAGUCAGACGUGAAAUCCCUCAGCUUAACUGGGGAACUGCGUCUGAUACUGGAUGGCUUGAGAUUGGGAGAGGGAUGCGGAAUUCCAGGUGUAGCGGUGAAAUGCGUAGAUAUCUGGAGGAACACCGGUG